UGAUUGAGGAAUUUUACAUUUUGAUGCUAGUCUUUCUGCAAUCUGUAUAUAUUCAUGAAUUUGUCAUUUUAACUCUCAGCCUGUGUUUCAUAAUCGCUUUCGCUAAUGACAGUUUGUUCUCAAAUUCCGAAUGUAAUUCAUCAAAUUUCCUUUCUUAAUCAUGUAAUAUCAUAAUCAUAAUGCAAUGGCUUCACUAAGACUAAUAAUCUUCACUCAAGAAAUUUUUUCUUGAAAUUUGAAUUCA
rnacentral:lncRNA from 1 species